CAGAUGAUUGAGUCAAAUAUAAAUACAUAUUAUAUAUACAUAUAUAAUAUGUAUUUGUAUAUGACUCAAUCAUCUGU